GGGUCAGUAGGUUGGUCGUGCCACCGGUACGUACUGGUCUCCCUGAUUCCUCCUUCCUGAAGAACCGUAAUGCCAUUAAUUUGGUGUUGCGGGGAAACAGGACUGUUACUUUGGAAAAAUUAGAGUGUUUAAAGCAAGCUAACGCUUGAAUACAUUAGCAUGGAAUAAUGAAAUAGGACGAUCGAUCCUAUUUUGUUAGUUUCUAGGAUUGACGUA
rnacentral:rRNA from 1 species